GGGUUGUCCAUGCGGUGGCCUGAGGGUCAUCCAAGGUAGUCCAGGGGUCAUCCAAGGUGGCCUGAGGGUCAUUCCAGGUGGUCCACAGUGGCCUGAGGGUCAUUCCAGGUGGUCCACGGUGGCCUGAGGGUCAUUCCAGGUGGUCCACGGUGGCCUGAGGGUCAUUCCAGGUGGUCCACGGUGGCCUGAGGGUCAUCCGAGGUGGUCCACGGUGGCCUGAGGGUCAUUCCAGGUGGUCCACGGUGGCCUGAGGGUCAUUCCAGGUGGUCCACGGUGGCCUGAGGGUCAUUCCAGGUGGUCCACGGUGGCCUGAGGGUCAUUCCAGGUGGUCCAUGGUGGCCUGAGGGUCAUUCCAGGUGGGCCAGGGUGGCCUGAGGGUCAUCCGAGGUGGGCUGGAGUAGCCCAUAGUGGCCUGAGGGUCGUUCCAGGUGGUCCAAGGCUCAUUCCAGGUGGUCCAAGGGUCAUCCAAGGUGGCCUGACGGUCAUUCAAGGUUGGCCAGGGUGGUCUGAGGGUCAUUCAAGGUGGUCCAAGGGUCAUGCAACAUGGUCCAGGGUGGCCUGAGGGCAUUCGAGGGGGUCCAAGGGUCAUUCAAGGUGGUCCAAGGGUCAUGCAGCAUGGUCCACGGUGGCCUGAGGGACAUUCGAGGUGGGCCAAGGUGGCCUGAGGGACAUUCCAGGUGGUCCAAGGGUCAUCCAAGGUGGUCCACAGUGGCCUGAGGGUUAUUCAUGGUGGUCCAAGGUGGUCCAAAGGUCAUCCAGCAUGGUCCAAGGUGGCCUGAGGGUCAUCCAGGGUGGUCCAAGGGUCACUCAAGGUGGUCCACAGUGGCCUUGAGGUUCAUUCCAGGUGGUCCAAGGGUCAUCCAAGGUGGCCUGAGGGUCAUUCCAGGUGGUCCAGGGUGGCUUGAGGGACAUUCGAGGUGGUGCAAUGGUCAUCCAACGUGGUCCAAGGUGGUCCAAGGGUCAUGCAAGGUGGGCCAGGGUGGCCUGAGGGUCAUUCAGGGUGGUCCAGGUUGGCCCAAGGAGGCCCAAGGUGGUUGAAGGUCUGGCCAAUGUCAUGCAAGGUGGCCCCAGCUCCAUCUGAGGUUGCCCAAGCUCCAUCCCAGAAGAUCCAGGGUGGCCCAACGUGGUCCAAGAUGGCCCCAGGUUCUUCCAAGGUUGGCCCAGGGUCCGUCCCAGGAGAUCUGAGGUGGCCCAAAGUCCAUCCGAGGUGGCCCAAGCUCCAUUUGAGGUUGCUCAAGCUCCAUUCCAGGAGAUCCAAGGUGGCCCAACAUAGUCCAAGAUGGCCCCAGGUUCUUCCAAGUUGGCCCAGGGUCCAUCGCAGAAGAUCCAAGGUAGCCCAGGGUCCACCCGAGGUGGCCCAGGAUCCAUCCCAGAAGAUCCAAGGUGGCCCAAAGGUCCUUCUGAGGUGUCCCAAGCUCUAUCCCAGAAGAUCCAAGGUAGCCCAGGGUCCACCCGAGGUGGCCCAGGAUCCAUCCCAGAAGAUCCAAGGUGGCCCAAAGGUCCUUCUGAGGUGUCCCAAGCUCUAUCCCAGAAGAUCCGAGGUGGCCCAAGCUCCAUCCGAGGUGGCCCAGGAUCCAUCCCAGAAGAUCCAGGGUGGCCCCAGCUCCAUCCGAGGUGGCCCCAGCUCCAUUCAAGGUGGCCCAACAUGGUCCAAGAUGGCCCCAGGUUCUUCCAAGGUGUCCCCAGCUCCACCCGAGGUGACCCCAAGGCCACCAGAAGCCACCUGAGACCACCGGGGCUCCUCAGAACCCCCAGACCCAAAAUCCCAC